AUGCGUACUCAUCCCAAGGCAAGAAAGAUUCAUCCUUCUCGAAUCAUUACCAAUCGGUGGUUCUUUGUGCACAACUUGUUCCCAUACCCUGAAGCAAGCGUGUACCCGCCACCGAGCUCAAAUGGCUACCAGACCCACCUUGGCGAAGAGAACCCUUCCUAUAACUGGGCAGGGCAACCGGCUCCAUCUGAUCGUGGACCUCACUUGUACAGCUACCAAGAUGAUCCUGACUGCCUCACCUUCCUGAGAGGAUGUGUUGCUACUACUGACUGCUACUACGAUUACCUGCUGAGACGUGUGUCUAGCCUUCUCCCCUUGGGUGAUUCCCGGGUACUCAAGUUGAACAACUUUGCUUGUGCCUGA
rnacentral:rRNA from 1 species